UACGUAGGGACCGAGCGUUGUCCGGAUUUAUUGGGCGUAAAGAGCUCGUAGGCGGUUUGUCGCGUCGGAUGUGAAAACCCAGGGCUCAAUCCUGGGCCUGCAUUCGAUACGGGCAGACUAGAGUAUGGCAGGGGAGACUGGAAUUCCUGGUGUAGCGGUGAAAUGCGCAGAUAUCAGGAGGAACACCGGUGGCGAAGGCGGGUCUCUGGGCCAAAACUGACGCUGAGGAGCGAAAGCGUGGGGAGCGAACAGG
rnacentral:rRNA from 1 species